AUGUCCGGAGACUGAUGAGCACAAAUGGCGCAUGCGCACAAGUCAUCGUAUAUCGUCCCGCCUGCGGACGAACCGAAAUAAAUCGAACGACGCCGAGCCGAUCAGCAGUACGGUGCUCGCUGGAUGCGACUGUUUCGCGUUAGUGAUGAUCAAAACGAGUUGUCGUCGUCGUUGUUUGUGGCAUUUCGCGAAGACGAAGAAGCCGUGAUCCGUGAUCAAAAGCUCGAGACGGAGAAGAGGCCGAGGACACACAUCGUCGCUCGUUGCCGCGGCCACGGAUGCAUAUGGAGCGGAGACUGCUCGAACGACCACGCCAGUCGGGGCAAUGGCUUCUACAAUCUUUAAACUUAUCCCUACCGAGUUGCUCAUGGUUAGGAUAAGGUGAAGGGUUAUAUUCGGCGCGUGUGUGUAUAUACGUGCAUAGUGACUCUCAUGCGUCAGAAAUAAUACAGCAGGAAGCGUGUCCGACGGUUGUGUCACACAGACUGCUAAUUCCGCGCGCUGCCAUAAGCCUGAAAAGUGAAGUAGUACCGUUAUCGCAAGGCCACGACGAAUCAUUGUUUCGAUUGAUUCAAGCUGAAAAGAAAGAGAACAAGCGGAACGGAAAGAAAAAGUGAGAGGAAACGUAGGCGAAGAAAAGGACGCGGCAGAGGAUUGAAGAAGGAGAAAAGAGGAAGGAGGAGAAACGGUUAAAGCCACAGAAAGCGUCUGGUGUCUAAAUCCAAAUAAGAGGUGUCCCCGAACCGGCGCUGUCUGAACCAGCUCAACAGCUGAUCGGAGUACGAAGCGGCGGUGAACGGGGCCACUAU
rnacentral:lncRNA from 1 species